CAACUUCAAAACUUCGCAUACAACUCAAUUUGGAUCCAUAAUUCACCAAACGGCUACCGAAAUGAUCGUAAUCGAGUUGUCUUUCCAUAUAAUCAAACCCCACCGAAUUUGGAGUUACAAAGAGAGAUUAAUUACCGUUUUAGUGAAGGUAUGUCCCCAAAAUUCUGCAAAAAAUCUGCUUUCGAGUCACAACUUCAAAGCUUAUCAUACAACUCAAUUUGGAUCCAUAAUUCACCAAAUGGCUACCGAAAUGACCGUAAUCGAGUUAGAUUUCCACAGAAUCAAACCCCACUAAAUUUGGAGUUACAGAGAGAGAUUAAUUACCGUUUUAGUGAAGGUCUGUCCAAUUACUAAUUCUGCAGAAAUCUACUUGUGAUCUUCAAAUUCAACAUCGUCUACCGAACACAUUGUAACUCCAAAUUCGAAGAAAUUGAAAUGCCAACAAGGGUAAUUUCGUUAGAUUUCCAUACGAUACAGGGUGAGAGGAAUGACGAAAAUACCAGUAGUAGUUUCAUACGAUAAUUAAUUUGAACAUACCUUCACUAAAACAGUAAUUAAUCUCUCUCUGUAACUCCAAAUUUAGUGGAGUUUGAUUCUGUGGAAAACUAACUCGAUNNNNNNGGGGGCAAAAUCCAACAAAUUAUAAAAUAGGGGGGGUAAAAUUCCGCAUUUUAAAAUAGGGGGGGUAAAAUUCCGCAUUUUUCAAAAUAG
rnacentral:lncRNA from 1 species